UAAUGCGUUCGGAAAGGCCAUACGGUAACGAGUAUUUCGUUAAGAACUGUCAUGUUUAUUUUAAAGUAUUUAAAAAAAUAUUGUUGACUUAAUAAAUAAUAUUAUUUUAGAAGAAAUGCAAAUAAAAUUAAGAAGUAAGCAAAAAACCUUUUGCCAAACUGCACAUAGGUCAAAGCCAAUACAUCGUCCGCCAGGUAUACGCUGACCAAAAGUACAAGGCGAAAAAAACUUGCAAAUUCCCUUAAUCGCUUCCUUACAAUACGUUCAUCGUCAUAACUUUCAUCGGAAGAUGAACAAUAAAGUAAAACGCUAUAAACGCCAAGGCCUUAAUUGCUUUUAUUUGACAAAAUAUUAAACAUUUGCUGAUUCAAACGUAUCAAGGAAUUUCUUUCUUUCUUACGACACAGAACGCUCAAUUCAACCCCAGAACAACACCACACCUAACUGUAUAUUUAGGUGUUCUUGAAUAAUUCGUGGAUUUUCUUCGCACCAGAAUCAUAUCAUUGCUAUUGGAAAACCCUUUAUGUACGUAAACUAAACUGCACUAAAGAUCUCGAGUGCGGUGGACAUAGACACUACUCAUUGUUACUUUGCUACAAGGCAAGAUGAGGCUUUGCGAGCCGAUUUUUCAUUGGAACUUUCUCAUUUAGGCCAAACAUCCACUUAUUACUUUAGAGCUGGUUAACAAAGGGAACUUGGUCUAGACGAAAGUUGCUAUUAAGAGAUGUAUGA